CCUACGGGAGGCAGCAGUGAGGAAUAUUGGUCAAUGGGCGCGAGCCUGAACCAGCCAAGUAGCGUGAAGGAUGACUGCCCUACGGGUUGUAAACUUCUGUUAUAAAGGAAUAAAGUGAGGCACGUGUGCCUUUUUGUAUGUCCUUUAUGAAUAAGGAUCGGCUAACUACGUGCCAGCAGCCGCGGUAAUACGGAGGAUCCGAGCGGUAUCCGGAUUUAUUGGGUUGAAAGGGAGCGUAGAUGGGUUGUUAAGUAAGUUGUGAAAGUUUGCGGCUCAACCGUAAAAUUGCAAUUGAUACUGGGAGUCUUGAGUACAGGUGAGGUAAGCGGAAUUCGUGGUGUAGCGGUGAAAUGCGUAGAUAUUACGAAGAACACCGAUGGCGAAGGCAGCUUACUAAACUGCCACUGACAUUGAGGCGCGAAAGUGUGGGUAUCAAACAGGAUUAGAUACCCCUGUAGUC
rnacentral:rRNA from 1 species